GACAGCAGCAGCCGCGGUAAUACGGAGGGGGCUAGCGUUGUUCGGAAUUACUGGGCGUAAAGCGCACGUAGGCGGCUUGGUAAGUUAGAGGUGAAGGCCUGGAGCUCAACUCCAGAAUUGCCUUUAAGACUGCCGAGCUGGCAGGUGAGAGAGGUAAGUGGAAUUCCGAGUGUAGAGGUGAAAUUCGUAGAUAUUCGGAAGAACACCAGUGGCGAAGGCGGCUUACUGGCUCAUACUGGACGCUGAGGUGCGAAAGCGUGGGGAGCAAACAGGAUUAGAGACCCCCGUAGUCCCUGUCUCUUAUAC
rnacentral:rRNA from 1 species